GUGUCCAGGGAUGGGAAUCGAACCCACAGUGUUCCGCUUACCGGGCAGAUGCCAUGUCCACUAUGUACUGGGUAGCCUAGUGGACA